AGUGAACGCUGGCGGUAGGCCUAACACAUGCAAGUCGAACGGCAGCACAGUAAGAGCUUGCUCUUACGGGUGGCGAGUGGCGGACGGGUGAGGAAUACAUCGGAAUCUACUUUUUCGUGGGGGAUAACGUAGGGAAACUUACGCUAAUACCGCAUAAGACCUACGGGUGAAAGCAGGGGAUCUUCGGACCUUGCGCGAUUGAAUGAGCCGAUGUCGGAUUAGCUAGUUGGCGGGGUAAAGGCCCACCAAGGCGACGAUCCGUAGCUGGUCUGAGAGGAUGAUCAGCCACACUGGAAGUGAGACACGGUCCAGACUCCUACGGGAGGCAGCAGAGGGGAAUAUUGGACAAUAGGCGCAAGCCUGGUCCAGCCAUACCGCGUGGGUGAAGAAGGCCUUCGGGUUGUAAAGCCCUUUUGUUGGGAAAGAAAAGCAGCAGGUUAAUACCCCGCUGUUCUGACGGUACCCAAAGAAUAAGCACCGGCUAACUUCGUG
rnacentral:rRNA from 1 species